UACGUAGGGGGCAAGCGUUGUUCGGAUUUAUUGGGCGUAAAGAGCGCGUAGGCGGCCAGAUAAGUCUGCUGUGAAAACUCGAGGCUCAACCUCGAGCUGUCGGUGGAAACUGUCUGGCUAGAGUUCGGGAGAGGAGAGUGGAAUUCCCAGUGUAGAGGUGAAAUUCGUAGAUAUUGGGAAGAACACCGGUGGCGAAGGCGGCUCUCUGGACCGAGACUGACGCUGAGGCGCGAAAGCGUGGGGAGCAAACAGG
rnacentral:rRNA from 1 species